rnacentral:lncRNA from 1 species
UAACACGACUUAAGAAUACAUCUUUAUACCAUCUAAAAUCAGAUAGUUGUCUACAACGUAACAAAAAAGGAAUAAAAUGAAAAGAACUGGAGAAAAAAAAAUGAAAAAGUCAGAAUCUCUGUCUCGUCGACAGUCGACAUGAAAAGCUCUGUCUCGUCGACAUGAAAAAAAAAUGAAAAAAAGAUCGCGAGAAUGUCGACAGAGAGAGAAAGAAGAAGAAGAUGGAAGAAGAAGAUGAGGAAGAAAGAAAAAACAAGAAGAAAGGAGAAGAAAAAAAUACCUGGGUUGGUCGUCGGUCGUCUCUGAAGAUGGAAACCCUAAUUUCCGUCACCGGAGAAGAAGAGCGGUCGUUGGUCGAGCUCUGUUUUUUGGUACCAAUUGUUUUUCUAAUUUCA